UUGAGAGAUAUCUUCGAGCUAUCCCCCUACCUGGCGCGCCAACCGUUGAUGCACGAAUCACACAAGUACGAAAAUGGGAUCUCUAGGGAAGGAAGAAGAAUC
rnacentral:sRNA from 1 species